UGGUUCACGCCUCAUCCCCA
rnacentral:tRNA from 1 species